rnacentral:rRNA from 1 species
CAGUCGCCACGGUAAUACGUAGGUCCCGAGCGUUGUCCGGAUUUAUUGGGCGUAAAGCGAGCGCAGGCGGUUUGAUAAGUCUGAAGUUAAAGGCUGUGGCUCAACCAUAGUUCGCUUUGGAAACUGUCAAACUUGAGUGCAGAAGGGGAGAGUGGAAUUCCAUGUGUAGCGGUGAAAUGCGUAGAUAUAUGGAGGAACACCGGUGGCGAAAGCGGCUCUCUGGUCUGUAACUGACGCUGAGGCUCGAAAGCGUGGGGAGCGAACAGGAUUAGAUACCCGAGUAGUCCCUGUCUCUUAUACA